UACGGAGGGGGCUAGCGUUAUCCGGAAUUAUUGGGCGUAAAGAGCUCGUAGGCGGUUUGUCGCGUCUGCCGUGAAAGUCCGGGGCUCAACUCCGGAUCUGCGGUGGGUACGGGCAGACUAGAGUGAUGUAGGGGGAGACUGGAAUUCCUGGUGUAGCGGUGAAAUGCGCAGAUAUCAGGAGGAACACCGAUGGCGAAGGCAGGUCUCUGGGCAUUAACUGACGCUGAGGAGCGAAAGCAUGGGGAGCGAACAGG
rnacentral:rRNA from 1 species